CACAGCGAUUUGCUCACUAAAUCAUCAUCAGCGGUAUUUGGAGGGCAUAAGGACUUCUUUGAGCCAUGUGGCCUUUGGAAAGUCACAUUUCCACCCUGGGUCCCCAGCUUCCUCAUCUGUGAGAUGCAUCUAAUUAGAGCGCCUGGACCGGAGGAAGUCCUCAGUGCACAGCCGCUGAGUCACCCAAGAAGAAAGCGUUCUAAGGAGUCAUGGCCUGACACGUAAUGCUGGCAACCUGACUACUAGACAAGGCCUGGUAACGGGCUUAGGGAAGACAGAGAUAGAUCUCCCAUCUGCUGGUUCACUCCCCAGAUGCCCACAGCAGCCAGGGCUGGGCCAGGUGGAAGCCAGGAGCUGGGGCCCAACUGCUUGAGCCAUCACUGUUGCCUCGCGGGUCGGUUUGCUGGACGUAGGAACACAGGGAGCGCCUCGGUCUCUACCAUUAAGUUUGUUGGAGGUACCAGCCGAUGCCAUGAGACCGGAAGCCGCUGGGUAUCGAACAAGCAGUCCGUGAAUGCAAGCUGAAUGCAGGCGUGUUCAGACUUUAUGUUUCUAGAGCAGUUCCAGGUUCGCAGCAAAACUGAGCAGAAGGUGCAGACUCUUCCCAUAUAUGCUUUCUCAACACGUGCACAGCCUCCGCCACCAACAACCUCUGCCAGAGCGGUGCCUCCGCUACAACUGACGAAGCUACAGGACACACAGCAUUGUCACCCAGCCCCCAGUUCACGUUGUGUUCACUCUUGGUGCAUAGACUACAGCGCAGGACAGGUGCAUCCUGACAUCUAUCCACCAUGAGAGAGUCCCAGGGGACGGUUUCACUGCCCUAAAAAUCCUGUGCUCCCCCCAGUCAUCCUUACCUGCCCUGGGCCCUGGAAACCAGUGACAGUCUCAGAGUCUCCACACUUCUGCUUUCCCAGAAGGUCAGAGCUCUGGAGCCCUACAGUAUGGAGCCUUUUCGGAAUACAAUCACUUAGCGGUGUGUAUUCAAGGUUCCUCCCUGCCUUUUCACGGCUUCAAAGCUGCUCUCUGUUUAGGGCUGAGUAAUGCCCUAGGCCGUAGGUAGACUGCCGAGGACUUAUCCAUUCACCUAUUGAAGGGCCCCAUGGUAGAGUCAAGUUUGGGUAAUGAUGUAAGAAUAAAGCUGCUAUAAACAUCUGUGGCCAGGGGCUGGCGCUGUGGCACAAUGGGUUAAACCAUGGCCUGCAGUGCUGGCAUUCCUUAUGGGGGCUGGUUGAGUCCUGGCUGCUCCACUUCUGAUCUAGUUCCCCCCAGCUAAUACACCUAGGAAAGCAGCAGAAGAUGGCCUACCUCCCUGGGCUCCUGUACCCAUGUGGAAGACUUGGAAGAAACUCUUGGCUCCUGGCUAUGGCCUGGCCCAGCCCUAGCUGUUGCGACCAUUUGGGGAGUAAGUGAGCAGAUGGAAGAUCUCUCUUUGUCUCUCUUUC